rnacentral:lncRNA from 1 species
AAAAAAACCCUGACAGCAGGUUUAGGGAGCCAGAAAUCUGGGGCUGAAAGACAAGAGCAAAAGAUCAGAGGGCAUGUGGGGAGGGGCAGGACAGAGCCUGGGAAGAUGGGUGAAGGCUUGUUUCUCAAGCAGAUGCUGGUGUUGAUGCAGAUAAUCCAUUAACAACCUAUAAAUCAAAAUUGGGUUGUCCUUCCCUCCCCCUUUCAAGAAGGUGGCCGUGCUCUCUUGUACCUGUGGCUUGAGGGAUUCUUUUGGAACGGGGAGCCCCUGAGAGCAGAAGGUGCCUGAAACCAGUGGCUCAUCCAGUCUUUAAUGAAAGCCCAAGUCCAUUGAAGUGAUGGGUGAUGCUGAGUGUUGCGGGAGAGGUGGAGCAAGAGUGCCUUUUAUUCUUUUGGGCAUCCACCCCUCAACAACCCAUGAAGUGUCUGGGGUUCCACCUUUGCCUCAAGAGAAACAGCACAUGACCUAGGCACAGGCCAAUCAGUGCAUCACAUUCCUCUUGCCUCAUGAUUGGUUCAAUGUUGUAUGACAGUGUGAGCUUUGGAGCUAUGGCAGCCAUCUUGUGACCAUGAAGGCACAAGCUGAGGAUGAAAGCCAACAUGCUGAAGAUGGCAGAGGAGGAAGACAGAAAAUGAUUCAGUCCUUGUAGACAUCAUUAUGCCACUCUACGUAUGACUCCCCUAUGUGUGGAACUUUAUAUUUUGUGAAAUAAUACACUUUCCUUAUUGUUUAAGCCAUUUUGAAUUCCCUAACCCCUGGGUAAUAUUAGCCCAGAAAGCAGAAAAGAAAAUAAAUAAUUCUCCUACUUAGGUUAUUU